AUUGAACGCUGGCGGCAUGCUUUACACAUGCAAGUCGAACGGCAGCGCGGGCUUCGGCCUGGCUGCGAGUGGCGAACGGGUGAGUAAUGCAUCGGAACGUGCCCAGCAGUGGGGGAUAGCCCGGCGAAAGCCGGAUUAAUACCGCAUACGACCUGCGGGUGCAAGCGGGGGACCGAAAGGCCUCGCGCUAUUGGAGCGGCCGAUGUCGGAUUAGCUAGUUGGUGGGGUAAAGGCUUACCAAGGCGACGAUCCGUAGCUGGUCUGAGAGGACGAACAGCCACACUGGGACUGAGCCACGGCCCAGACUCCUACGGGAGGCAGCAGUGGGUAAUUUUGGACACUGGGGCAACCCUGAUCCAGCCAUGCCGCGUGCGGGAAGAAGGCCUUCGGGUUGUAAACCGCUUUUGUGCGGGAAGAAAUCCUCUGGGCUAAUACCCCGGGGGGAUGACGGUACCGGAAGAAUAAGCACCGGCUAACUACGUG
rnacentral:rRNA from 1 species